rnacentral:rRNA from 1 species
AUUGAACGCUGGCGGCAGGCUUAACACAUGCAAGUCGAGCGGGGAAGGUAGCUUGCUACCGGACCUAGCGGCGGACGGGUGAGUAAUGCUUAGGAAUCUGCCUAUUAGUGGGGGACAACAUCUCGAAAGGGAUGCUAAUACCGCAUACGUCCUACGGGAGAAAGCAGGGGAUCUUCGGACCUUGCGCUAAUAGAUGAGCCUAAGUCGGAUUAGCUAGGUGGUGGGGUAAAGGCCUACCAAGGCGACGAUCUGUAGCGGGUCUGAGAGGAUGAUCCGCCACCCUGGGACUGAGGCACGGCCCAGACUCCUACGGGAGGCAGAAGUGGGGAAUAUUGGACAAUGGGGGGAACCCUGAUCCAGCCAUGCCGCGUGUGUGAAGAAGGCCUUAUGGUUGUAAAGCACUUUAAGCGAGGAGGAGGCUACUCUAGUUAAUACCUAGGGAUAGUGGACGUUACUCGCAGAAUAAGCACCGGCUAGCUCUGUGCCAGCAGCCGCCGUAA